AACGAACGCUGGCGGCAGUCUUAACACAUGCAAGUCGAACGCGUGCAGCAAUGCACGAGUGGCGCACGGGUGAGUAACGCGUGGAUAUCUGCCUUUUGGUUCGGAAUAACCCCGGGAAACUGGGGCUAAUACCGGAUGGUUCCUACGGGAUAAAGAUUUAUCGCCAAAAGAUGAGUCCGCGUCCGAUUAGCUAGUUGGUGAGGUAAUGGCUCACCAAGGCGACGAUCGGUAGCUGGUCUGAGAGGACGAUCAGCCACACUGGGACUGAGACACGGCCCAGACUCCUACGGGAGGCAGCAGUGGGGAAUAUUGGACAGUGGGGGCAACCCUGAUCCAGCCAUGCCGCGUGAGUGAUGAAGGCCUUCGGGUUGUAAAGCUCUUUUGGCGGGGACGAUGAUGACGGUACCCGCAGAAUAAGCCCCGGCUAACUUCGUG
rnacentral:rRNA from 1 species